rfam:Clostridium formicaceticum strain ATCC 27076, complete genome.
AUAAAUGCUAAGAAGGAGCAUAGUAAAAGGGUGAUGUUUUAUAGAGAGUAGGAUAUUGGUGGAAGUCCUAUAAACUAACCUUUUGAACCCUCUCCGGAGCUUAUGAUGAUAAAGUCAUUACGGUGGUGAUCACGUUACGAUUGCAGAAAGUGAGCUAGUUCAGCUAAUUAGGGUGGUACCGCGGGUAAACUCUCGUCCCUUUC